rnacentral:tRNA from 1 species
GGGAAUGUGGCUUAGUGGUAGAGUGUGUACCUAGCAUGCACGAAGCCCUAGGUUCGAUUCCUCAGUACCA